rnacentral:tRNA from 1 species
AGUUUCAUAGUUUAAAACAAAAAUAUCAGGCUGCAAUUCUGAAGAUACAACCAUGUUGAAGCUU